ensembl:lncRNA
UGAAUGUACGUGUGAUGCUUACUUAGGUCACUGAUAAAGAUGACUUUAUCAGUUUCUGUUUUUCCAUCCCUCGUGGGUUUGAAUAUCUUGGUGAGAGAAACGUCUCCAAGUUGCCUGGGCCCUCUUGUACCUUCCAGCCUCAGGUGGAAAUGAAUGGAAACAGAGGUGCUCUCCUUGACUCUGCCCCACCAUGCACCCGUGCCUUGCGUCUGAAAUCUUCUUAUGAAUGGUGGAGCAGGACCUGAGGUCAUCUGAGGACCACUCUCUGCACCAUCAUCAAAAGCCGAAAUUGUAUGGCCAACUCUACUACCAACACCCUCAACCAUCAUCACCCCCAUCACUGUCCCCACCAUCGUUAGCCGUAUCAUUGCUAUCAUCUAUGUCAUCAUCGGAGAACACAAC